rnacentral:rRNA from 1 species
CCUACGGGAGGCAGCAGUGGGGGAUAUUGCACAAUGGGGGAAACCCUGAUGCAGCGACGCCGCGUGAGUGAAGAAGUAUUUCGGAAUGUAAAGCUCUAUUAUCAGGGAAGAAAAUGACAGUACUUGACCAAGAAGCCCCCGCUAACUACUUGCCAGCAGCCGCGGUAAUACGUAGGGGGCAAGCGUUAUCCGGAUUUACUGGGUGUAAAGGGAGCGUAGACGGUUAUUUAAGUCUGGAGUGAAAGCCCGGGGCCCAACCCCGGGACUACUUUGAAAACUGUGUAACUGGAGUACAGGAGGGGCAGGCGGAAUUCCUGGUGUAGCGGUGGAAUGCGUAGAUAUCAGGAGGAACACCAGCGGCGAAGGCGGCCUGCUGGACUGAAACUGACGUUGAGGCACGAAAGCGUGGGGAGCAAACAGGAUUAGAUACCCUGGUAGUC